rnacentral:rRNA from 1 species
ACCUCAAGUCAUGUGAGAGUACCCGCUGAACUUAAGCAUAUCAAUAAGCGGAGGAAAAGAAACUAACAAGGAUUCCCCUAGUAACGGCGAGUGAAGCGGGAAGAGCACAAAUUUUAAAUCUACCUGGUUUUCAGGUCGAGUUGUAAUUUGAAGAAACGUUUUUUACGUUCCGGGUUGGAUUAAAUCCUUUGGGAUAAGGUAUCAUGGAGGGUGAGAAUCCCGUGUAUACCAACCACUGGAAUGUUAUUAAUACGAUUUCUAAGAGUCGAGUUGUUUGGGAAUGCAGCUCUAAAUGGGUGGUAAAUUUCACCUAAUGCUAAAUAUAAGCGAGAGACCGAUAGUGAACAAGUACCGUGAGGGAAAGAUGAAAAGAACUUUGAAAAGAGAGUUAAAUAGUACGUGAAAUUGUUGAAAGGGAAACGGUUGAAGUCAGUCAUGCCGGUGGGAAUCAACUUAGGGGAAACUCUGAGUGCACUUCUUCGCUUGGCAGGUUAGCGUCGAUUUUGGAUGUCAUAAAAUGACUGGGGGAAGGUAGCUCCUUCGGGAGUGUUAAGCCCUUAGUAGAUGUGAUGUCUGAGAUCGAGGAUUGCAACGAAUACCUUUUAGGCUAGCCGCCUGGUCUCUAAUACGAACUUAGGUUACGGACAGCAUGCUGACUGUGAUCUAAUCUUCGGUUAAAAGAUUAGAGUGAGUGUAAAUUCGUUAAGGACGCUGACGUAAUGGCUUUAAACGACCCGUCUUGAAACACGGACCAAGGAGUCUAACAUGUAUGCGAGUGUUAGGGUAAUAAACCCAGACGCGAAAUGAAAGUGAGUUUAGGUGGGAUCCUUUAUUGGAGCACCAUCAACCGAUCUUGAGAUUUAUCGAUAGAAUUGAGUUAUAGCAUACCUGUUGGGACCCGAAAGAUGGUGAACUAUGCCUGAAUAGAGUGAAGCCAGAGGAAACUCUGGU